UUCAUUUUGAAAUUAAAGAAUGCAAAAUACUGUAUGAUUUGGUAGCCUGUGGAAUAUUUCCUAGUACCACUGUAUGAUCUUAUAGAAAGAUGUCCACAAAAAUGGGAUCUUAAGUCCUACAGUUGAUCAUCCUGAGAUUCUGCCUAGGGCCAUUAUUACCAUGGUGAUGUUGGUCCAAACGGAGUGGCAGUUCUGCUAAGGCCUGGCUGUUCCCACCAGCAAAGGAAACCAACCAAGGAAACCGCAGGACAAGGCGCUGUGAUAACUGGAUGCUAAACAGAAGUCAUACUCUAAAUUCGUAACAGGAUCAAAAGAUGUCCGUUAAACUGGUAAACAGGAAAGAAUUCAAAUGUAAUGCUCUCUACAAAAAGUGAAAGCUAGAAAACACACUAACUAUGACUGAUCAGUGUGAAGGCCCCUCAUCGCAUUACUGCACCGUCUUUGGACAUGGCCUUCAUCCUCCCACGGAACACAUACAGUAGGCAGCUGCUCUCAACGUGGACUCUUGGACAACUCCUUGUGAAGUCUCUGUUGGGCCAGAUUUUCUCAAGAGAGGCAGAGAAUUUCACUUUACAAUGAAAGGACAUUGUUUGAGGUUCUAAUAACCAGCAUGGAGCUGUAUGUUAUGAUCUCAUCUGUAAGUAGGAAAUUAUCUUAGACAUUCCUCACAAAAAUUAAAGUGAGCUUGUUUAUAUAAACAUCUAGAACUAUCUUGGACCAUUGAAAGGAGUUCAGUAUUUCUUUUCCUUCUCUUAGAUUUCCCUCUGAACCUCUGAAUGUUGAGUUGAUUAAGUUAUUUAAUUAUAAUUAUUAUAUGUAAGCUUAUUGAGGAAUUCUAGUUUGAAUUACAAUGUAGUAAGAUCAACAGUUAUUUAGGAUUUAGAAUCAGGUGAUAGAUCUAAGUGAGGUGUAAAUGCCUCAUCUCAGGUGGAGAAGAAAAACAAGCAUUUCCCUCCACGUUGGGGUUUUACUCAGGGAACCUCUCUGGCUUCACCUGAUCACUCUGUUUAUGAAUACUGAACUUCAGAUUGCAUUAUUCUUCAGUGCUGUAAUAUAAAUCCUUGCAAUAAAUGAACACCAGUUUCUGACUGACUAGUUAGGGGAAAAAAAUUGAAAAAAAAAAAAAAAAAGAUCUAUACCAUAAAGCCUGUAAAACAUGUAAACCUUACACUCAUUUUUUGGGCAUGUCAUGUCUUAGUCAAAUGAUGCAACUACACUCAUGGAUAAAUUAUGCUUAAGGUCCCUAAAAUUUUGAAGCCAGUUCCUUAGGCUACUGUUACAGCUGGACUUUUCUCUAUAUCUUAUAGUUGAAACCAACAAUCUAAACUUGAAUAAGAGUAUGAAUUAAAAAAAAAAUACAAAAGUACUCAGUUCUCAACGCAUUGCAACCUAAAUACUGUGACCCAAUCUUCCUUAAAUACUAAGCCAAAAUUUACUUCAUAGGCUCCUAUCUCACAUUCUUUUAAAAGGACUUUCUAAUCUUUUUUUUUUUUUUAACAGAAAGGAAUUAUUUUUCCUCACUCACAAAAUACAUCAAUGUGUAACUUAAGCAUCCUGCCAGAGGAAGCAUGUGGCUUUGAUAACAUUGUAUCAGAGACCAAUGGCACUGCCAGUUCUAAGACCUACAUGUUUUCUGGUUCUGGUUCCAGAGAUCUUGCUGCUUUGUCACAGUGCUUCUCUUUCAGAUUUCAUGACAUGUGUUAAUGCAAAUAAAUGACCUAA